rnacentral:lncRNA from 1 species
GACUCUCUCUCUAAAAAAAUAUUAAAAAAGAAAAGAAAAAGUAAUAAUCUCUCCCAUCUCUCACUGGCUUCUAAAAGGACGAAAAAAGAAAAUAAAAAGGGGAGGAUUUUCUUCUUUCCAAAAAAAAAAGAAGCGAAAGCACCUUCUUCUUUCCAACAACACAUUUCCACUGUCACAAAUAUUCCACCAUCCACCACACUUCGUAACCUCCAUCAAAUCCGCCGACGCACCCUCCUUCGACCUUUUCUCUCCCUCUGUUUCCGGUACUAUUUCCACCGUCCCGGCUCACCCUUUCCAAAUCACCAUCGUCAUUUUUCACUAUUCAACCCAAACAACCACCUCCACUACCUCCACAAAAUACACUCCCUCACAACAACUCCGGUCACUGAACCAUCUUCACCUCCAUAAAACCCACUUCGCCGGCCGACCUCCACCAAGCGUCGAGAACAACCUUCACAACCACACGCCGGUACUCACUCCAUCCGCCGUGAACCUUUGUUUCAGCCACCACCGCUACCCUCCGGCACAACCAAAUCAACACCGUCGAAACCAUUUCGAC